rnacentral:RNase_P_RNA from 2 species
CGCAUUGGCCAACAGCUGCUAUUAAAGUAGAGGAAAGUCCACGCUAGCACUUUCUGCGAUGAAAGUAGUGUUCAUGCUAAGCCCAAUAAGCUUAGGCCUAGACGACUAGUGCCACAGAGACGAGAAUUGUGAAACGCGGUAAACUCCAUGAGCUAGAAACCCAAAUUUUGGUAGGGGAAUUUUCUCGAGAGAAUUGAAUCAAGAGAGAAAACCAGUUUACUGGUUAGAUAAAUUGUUGGCACCUUAUUAUUUUUAAGGGACAAAACGUGGCUUAUAGAU